AAGUCAGAUUAGCUAGUUGGUAGGGUAAAUGGCCUACCAAGGCGACGAUCUGUAGCCGGUCUGAGAGGACGAACAGCCACACUGGGACUGAGACACGGCCCAG
rnacentral:rRNA from 1 species